ensembl:lncRNA
UAUCUGGAAAUGAACGCACUUUUAUUUAAUUCGUGGGUCAAAGACAAAAUCACAAAAGAAGUACAAAAACAUUUAGAAUUGAAUGAUAACAAUAAUACAACAUAUGAAAAUUUGUGGAAUGCAGCUAAAGGAGUGCUUUUAGGGAAACUUAAAGCUUUAAGUAUUUGGAUUAGAAAAGAAGAAAGAUCUGAAAUCAGUGAUGUAAGUUACACCUUAAGUAACUAGAAGAAGAAGAGCAGGAACAAAGUAAGCUAAAGGAAGGAAAGAAAGACGAGAAAUCAGCUAACUAGAAAACAGGCAGCAGCAGAGAAAACUAACAAGGCAAAACUUUGUUCUUUGGUAACUUGACAAACCUCAAAGCUGACUAAUCAAGAUAAAAAUAGGGGGCCGGCCCCAGGACCCAGUGGUGAAGUUCAUGUGUUCUGCUAUGGAGGUUCCCCGUUCACUGGUUCGAAUUCUGGGCACAGAAUUACUCACCACUCAUCAGGCUAUACUGUGGCUGCAGCCCAUGGAGAAGAACUAGAAUAACCUACAACUAGGAUAUACACCUAUGUACUGGGGCUCUGGGGAAGGAAAAAAAAAGAGGGAGAUUGGCAACAGGUGUUAGCUGAGGGCCAAUCUUCCUCACCAAAAGAAAAAGAAAAAGAAAAAGAGAACAAAAAUCACCGUAUUAGGAAUGAAAAAGGGAUUACUACCACAGAUACUACAGACAUUAAAAGGAUAAUGAGAGAAUGCUAUGAACAACUCUAUGUCAACUUCGAUGAAACGGACAAAUUUGUUUUGUUAAAUUUCAACUUAAAUUAAAACAAAACGAUAAAAUGGAAAAAAGAAAAAGAAAUUUAGGGACAAAUAUUACUUGGGACUACAGAGGCAAAAAUCUUUUAGCAAAACAAACUAAUAGGAUAUAAGUUUAAUAUACAAAACUGUCACCAAAUAUGUUAUAUAUAAGCAACAAAUAAUUGGAAAUACAAUUUAAAUAUCAUUCCAAGUACACUAGUGCCAGAAAUCAUCAAAUUCUUAGGAAUAAAUCUUAGAAACAAUGUCUCAGACCUCAGAAAACCAAGACACUGAAAACCAAGAAACGCUGCUGAGAGGAAGAAGCACAAAUAAAUGCACCCCCUUUUCCUAGAUAGUGAGGCUCAACGUUGCUAAGAUGGCAAUUCUCCCCAAAUUGAUCCAUAGAUCCAACAAAAUUCCAAACAAAAUUCUAGGAGGCUUUUGGUAGAAAUUGAUGAGCUGAUUUAAAAAAUUUAUAUGCAAACAUAAAAGACCUAAAAAAUAUUUAAAAUAACCAAAGCAAUUUUUAGAAAGAUGAACAAAGUUAACUUAUUUUUAGGUAAAGCAAAAAAAGCUGAGAUAAUUAGUCGUGUUUCUGAACAGUUACACUUGCAAAAUUUCCAUUGAUUUUCUUCCCAUGAUUCACUAAACAGAGGCAUAUGUAACCACUUUGGGAAUAGACAGGAGAAUUGGGGGGGAAAGUAGAAAGUCAAACACUGGCUUCCUUCACAGGAGCCUCAGAGGAAAUGCCCUUUUAGAGCAGGUUCUAGACUGGAGGUGAGACACACAGAAGAGGAGGUCACAGAAGCAUCGGGGAGAGGAAGAGAGCUCUGGUCCAUCAUAGGUAAAGAAGGGCCACAUGGAGCAGCAGGCCUUGGAAAGAGGUUUAGGGCCAAGUCUGAGAGAAAAAAACCCAGGCAGAGCUUGGUCUUCAAGGUCAGAUUCAAAGGGAAACUGCCCUUCCAUUAUGUCUCAGUCUUUUUUCCUACCUUCUCUCCCCCAAGCCUCGUGGUCCCUAAACGUCCCAGAAAGCGCUGGGCCAAGGUAAAGCAUUUAGAGUUCCAGAAAAAUUUCACCUCCCCAUCGGAACCCCUUAAGCUGCGGGGAGGGUUUCCUGAUCGAUGCCUUGCUCUCUCCCGUCCUUAGGGACAGUGCUGUGGACACAUCCCCAGCCUCAGAGGAGGUCCAGGGAGGCUGGCCCUGGUGCCUGCACCAAGCGGCAUCUCCUUCCAGUUCUCCAGAGAUCUAUGGAGUGAUUCCAGGCACGUGCUCUCCAGGUAGGUCUGGAAGCUCACUGCCAACCAGGUUGGCUUCCACUCUCGGGUCCCGCCUCUGCUCCAGAGCGAGGGUCCCUGUUCUGGAAUCUGCUCAGAGGUAGGCAGGCAGCUCACAUCCGCGCACAGGCUCCGAUUCCAGAUCCCCGGGCACCCGCCGCGCUGAACUCAGGCAGGAGGUGUGAGACCCUGGCCCCCCGCACCGCGGGAUCCUGGCUCCAAGACAGUAAUGAGCCAGAGCAGCUGUCAGGUACUCGGCACUGUAGGGAGGUACAAACACUGGUGUGUUCUCCCCUCAGGUCUGAGGGGCCAGUGGGGUCCCAGUGGGUCCCGGCCAGGGAGACAGAUGGCCCGUUGUCCAGGCAGUUGCCUUUGAAGUAUCUGGGUCUGCGAGUCCUGGCCCUUCAGGGUGCUAUGGAAACCUCUCAAGAAGUGGGGCUUUUGGGGUAGAAAGGGUGACAAUGACUCAGCUCAACCUCCUGCAGGCUUUGUCCCAAUGCAGGUUCCUCAAUGUGUGUACGUGACUGCACUGAGGGUGGGGUACUCAAAGUGAAAAGAAGGAAACUGAACAAGGGGGAAGUUGAGACCAGGGCGUAGCCAGGUGGCAUAACUGUUAAGUUUGCGCCCUCUGCUUCCCAGGCCUGGGGUGUCCAGUUCAUCCCAGCACGGACCUACACACCACUCCUCCAGCUGGACCUACACACCACUCCUCCAGCCGUGCUGUGGCCGGAUGCUACAUACAAAAUAGAGGAGGAUUGGCACAGAUGUUAGCUCAGGGACACUCCUGUCUUCCUCCCUCCCCAAAGGCAGUUUCACUCCCCUUCCCACACUCACUCACCUGGGUCUCUGUCAGGACCAGCAUCAGAGGAGCAGGUGGAGGUUUUGGGCCCCGGUGAUCUGGCGCCUCUGGACCUCUUGGAGUUGAGGGAGAACUCUGGGUACCUUCGGGCUCCUCUGUGAAAGUAAACUUCCUCUAAUUAACUUCUCUAGAAAGCAUACCCAACGGAAACAGAAAUUGGCAAGUGUCAUAGGUCUCCAGGCAGAAUAACCUGAAAAGGGGUUGUUGGAAAAGAAAAAGAGAAACUUCUGAAAAAGCCCUGUGUAGAGGGGCAUUCUCCGGUGCUCCCUCCCACUGUUUCACCCCACUCCACCACCUUAGUCAUCUUCUGCCUCCCAGAGAUCGCUCUCAAUGCUGGAGAUGCUGAGAUCUCAAACUGGAGACGUUUGGACCUUUCCAUGAGCCCUCUCCUCUGCCACACGGGGCACUCCUGCCGGCUGUCUCCCUGGUUCCUAGAAGAGAGAGUGACACCAGCUUGUCUCUCAGCCCACUUUUCUUCUUUCUUUUCUAGAAUCCCUUACCCUAUGCAGGACCGACAAAGGGCUCAGAGAAGCUUUUAACUGAGCCUUCUCGUCAAAGUCUUUGGUAUUCCCCUGUGCAUUGUGCUUCUAGAAAGACUCUUUCCCCCACAGAGCCUGAGGACAGACAGGAAGCACCGUUGGAAAACGGAAGGUGGUGGGAUGAAGGCUUCUUCUUUAAUUCUGGGUACCACUAAUGGCUGAAGGCAUUGGAUAGUGGUUCACGACUAUUAGCCCUGAGCUAACAUCUGCUGCCAAUCCUCCUCUUUUUUGGCUGAGGAAGACUGGCCCUGAGCUAACACCCAUGCCCAUCUUCUUCUACUUUAUAUGUGGGACGCCUACCACAGUAUGGCUUGUCAAGCAGUGCCAUGUCUGCACCCAGGAUCCGAACCGGUGAACCCUGGGCCGCUGAAGUGGAAUUUGUGAACUUAACCGCUGCGCCACUGGGCCAGGCCCAUACCAUUCUAUGUUCUAUGUCCUUUGACUAGUCUAAGUACCUAUAUAAGUGGAAUCAUAGAAUAUUUGUCUUUUUGUGACUUCCUUAUUUAUCAUCACCCAAAACUAGAAGCAACCGAGAUGUCCUUCAAUAGAUGAGCAGACAAAUGGUGGCCUAUAUCCACACCAUUAAGCAGAAAACUAUUAAGGGAACAAAAGGAGUGAACUAUUAAUCCAUGUGACAACAUGGAUGAAUGUUAAGUGCAUAUUGCUAGGCGAAAGAAGCCAGUCUGAGAAGGCUACAUGUUGUAUGAUUCCAUUUAUGUGAUGUUCUCGAAGAAGCAAAACUAUGGAGAUGGAAAAAAUGAUCAGUGAUGGCCAGGGGUUAUGGAAGGGGAGAGGGUUGACUAGGUAUAGCAUGGGGAAUUUUAGGGCUGUGAGCUAUCCUGCAUGGUACUGUAGGGACAGAUGGAAAACUAUCCAUGUAUCAAAACCAUAGGACGUUAUAGCAUGAAGAGUGGAUCUUAAUGUAUGCAAAUUUAAAAAGGUCAACCAGGAGGGUGGGGGAUCCCAGGGUGGAAUACAGACUGUGAUAAAAGCAUCCAACUGUAUUACAAAUGUCUGACCUCACCUCACUGAAGGUGGUGGGGAAAGAGACAAUGCCUAAGUAACUUUGGGAAUAAGUGGAAACAAUAAGACUAAAGACAAAAGGAACUGUACACAAGCACUGUUUUCUAGUUGGUAAAGUUGUUUUCCUCCAGGGGACAGGUUAAAAAUUCUGAAAGAGUUGUAUAUGAAUAUUGGGAUUGACAAUAAGAAAAAGGAUGGUGGACUGUGGGAGCCAAGUUUCUUACUGUUGAUAUGGGAGGUUACAGACAAGCAAGGGUGGAAAAGCUAGAGUGAACCCCACAGUGCUGACUUAGAGCUGGAGGCCUCAGUUGGAAUUAUGUUUAAUUUAAUAUAUACGUGUAUAUGCAUGCCUCAUAUACACAUAUAGUAAAAAUUUUAGAUGUGUGUAUACAUGGAUUAUUAUAUCCACACAUAUUUACCAGUUUUACCCACUGAGAAAGGCUGAAGCAAUGAUACUUGAAUAGCAACAAGCAACACAGUGCCCAGAACUUGGUUUCUAAUAUUAUUCUCUAAUGAAAGGAAUCUAGGUUCCUUGGAGAAACGUCUGGUUCUGGGGCUGGAUCAGGGAAUAUACAUGAUAAGUCUAGAGCAUUUAGUAAGCGCCAGAAAGAAAGAAAGUCCUCAAAAAAUAAAAGCAUGGGGAUAUGUCAAAGGGACUCAGGAGACAACUGAAAGAAGUCCCAAGGGACAAAAUGAACAAUUUUACACAAAAUGAGGUAAUACUAGAUUAUAGGCCAAAGUAUAAAAUAAAUACUCAUGAGUGCAUAUUGAUACAAAUAAAUGACUGAAUGAGAAGAAUAGAUGUCUCCCAUAUAGAAGAAUCCAAAUAAUUUAUGUAGAUACUCUGCCCUCAAGAAGGUGGAGCAAAACUUCCUGCCCACAGUGUCUUCCUUCAGCAGAAUAUGGAGGGGGCAGUGAAAAGUAGCUUUAUAGUGGGGGAAAUGCGGGAAACACUAGCCUGGUAUAGUGAGAUGAACGGUGACCCCUCAAAGAAAUGUCCAUGUCCCAAUCCCCAGAACCUGGGAAUGUUAAAUUAUUUGGAAACAGAGUUUUUGCAGAUUUUAUUAAGUUAAAGAUCUUGAGAUGAGGAGAUCAUCCCAGACUAUUCAGGUGGGCCUUUAUCCAAUGAUGAAUAUCCUUAUAAUAGAGACAGACAUAAGAGACAGUGAUACGAAGAAGGAGGCUGAGACUGGAGUAAUGUGGCCUCAAGCCAAGGAAUGCUGUGCAGCUGCCAGAAGCUAGAAGAGGCAAGGGAUGGAUUCUCCCGAGAGCAUCCAGAGAGAGGACAGGGCUGCCAACACCUUGGUUUCAGAAUUCAAGCCCCCAGCACUGUGAGAGAAUGAUUUUCUGUUGUUUAAGUCAUGAAACUUGUGGUAAUUUGUUUCAGCAGUGACAGAAAACUAGGACACCAGGUGCUCAAGGUCAACAUCAACAAUGAUAAAUCAAGUUGACAUUAUAUACCUUUGAUACGUUGUGUUGAGAAUGGCACUUCGUCUUGUCCCCAAACUCAUAAUCCCUGUCUAAUCAUGAUCAAAAUUUAUAAAGCCACUUCAAAGAACAUUCUAUAGUAUAUCUGACCAGUACUCCUAAAAAAUGUCAAGGUCAUCAAAAACAAGGAAAGUCAAGAAACUGUCACAGUCAGUGAAGCCUAAGGGGACAUGAAGGGGACCAAAUGUAAUGUGG